GCUUAAAUUAUGCAUGGAGUAAUUUCAUGAGAAACCUUUUCUCAUGUAAUAAAUAGGGCGUAAAAAAAGAGAUAAGGUGCAAAGAUUGAUUGCCCAUUCAAAUUCAAACUUUAUUUUGAAUUUGAAUGGCCAACCAAUCAUCCUUAUCCAUCCAUUUGGCACAUUAAAGUGGGGCGUGGAGAGGGCUUGGCGUGAGAAAAAAAUUCAUGAGAAGUUCCUUCUCAUGAAUCCAAAUGGGUGCAAUGGAAGUGAGGUGGCGCAUGGAGAUUGGGUCAAGGUGGUUUAAUUAUUUAAACCAACCUAAUUGAACCAAAUAAGUUAGGUCCAAUUAGACUAAUUUAAAUCUAACU
rnacentral:lncRNA from 1 species